AUGCACCCUCUUUGAACCGGCGAAUUGCCCUUUCCGUGGCUUCGCUGGCCAAGCGUCGGUGCGAAAAUAUAUCGCCUGUUCAUAACUGGUGCCCCCCGGACCCCACCCGGGAUGUGCUUUUAAAUACAGGCUACACGC